GGAAUAAAGAAUAGUGAAUGAAUGGAAAGAAAGUGUAAGUUAUUAAAAAUAUAACUAAAAAAAGAAGACAGAAAAAAAAGACACCCCUCCGAGACGAGCCUUACAUGCACUGUUAUUACCCAAGGUUAAUUUUACGGCGGCCCAUUUUAUUUUGGCUUAGAAAUAAACAUAAUUGACAAGUUUCCUUCCCCUGCAUUCUCGAUCCCACAUGUAAAUAGCACGGUGAUUUCAAAAAGACAUUGAUACAUCAUCACAACACUUGCCGUCAGUGUUUGAAUAUAUUGAUUAAGAAGGUUGUCAGCAAGAUGAAAAGGACAAGUAUGCAGUUAAAAAUUCAAAAUGUGGAUAAGUUACCUUUGCAGAUUUUCAUACUUUGCAUGAAUGAAUUCAAAGAGUAUAUGAUGGACAGCAGAGAAAGAAAAAUACAACUUUUCAAUUAUCCUGCUCCUGGAUAAAUGUAAAACAUCUUGUUCUUCGAAGGAUUGAAAUUCACCACCUAGAAUACAUGGAGAAAACAUAGAAACAAGACCAGAAUAAAUUCAAAGACAAAAGUUGGAUCAGUUAUUAUUUUCAUCACUCUGUCAAUGAUUUGAAGUUCUUUUAAAUUCAAAAAAAUAUUGAAACCACAAUAAUGUCAAAGUUUUGUGCUGAAUGUCUAAAAAGUGGACUAUACCAUCAAACAAUGCUGGAUGAUAAGAAACUAUUAAUGUUUUGUGUUGAGGGAUAUUGUGAAAAAAAUAGAUUUACUUAAAUAGAUACUAGUAUGUUAAGCCUAACAAUAGAGUUUUUAUUGAUUUCAAAUGGCAAAUAAUUGUGUUUCAAGAAAGUAUUCUAUAAUUCAUGAAUAAACAUAUAUUGAUACUUACAUUA